rnacentral:rRNA from 1 species
AGCGAACGCUGGCGGCAUGCUUAACACAUGCAAGUCGCACGAAGGUUUCGGCCUUAGUGGCGGACGGGUGAGUAACGCGUAGGUAUCUAUCCAUGGGUGGGGGAUAACACUGGGAAACUGGUGCUAAUACCGCAUGACACCUGAGGGUCAAAGGCGUAAGUCGCCUGUGGAGGAGCCUGCGUUUGAUUAGCUAGUUGGUGGGGUAAAGGCCUACCAAGGCGAUGAUCAAUAGCUGGUUUGAGAGGAUGAUCAGCCACACUGGGACUGAGACACGGCCCAGACUCCUACGG